UGUCCCCAACCGUAAUGAAGGAUUUGAAUAUCAAGGAUUUGAAUCUGUUUCUAAGGGGAGAGAGGAAUACUAGAGCAUUAGAGAUUUGGAGAAAAACUUUAUUGAUGUUUGAUUCGUUGUUAGUUCAUGUCUCUCUUGAAAGUGUCAAGCUGAAGAAAAAGAAGAAACACAAGAGAACAGAAAGGCCCAGAUGGUAGCAAAACUGCAUGGAAUACUGAGACCAUUUCUACUUCGGAGAAUGAAAUCUGAUGUCGAGCUAAUGCUCCCUCGGAAGAAAGAAAUCAUAAUAUAUUGGUUAUGAUUGAAGGAAGUUCACUCUGGAAAAUUAAUAGUCUUCAACACCAUUGUUGUCCUCCUAUUUCAAGGUUAGUUUUAUGCCUAAUAUCCCCGUACAAUCAAGUGUGUGAAGUGUUGAAGAGAGAGCUUGGCAUGACACCGGAUAAGUUGCUGGAUGAGCUGAAGAAGAAGAAUCUUGAUAAUGAAGUCCAUCUCAACAACGUAUAUUACAUCUCUUAAUCUCUCAAACCCUCCAAAAUUUGUAGACAAAUAAAAUUGUGUUGCCUUUACACGGAAGAUUUUGUUGCC